rnacentral:rRNA from 1 species
AACGGCCGCGGUACCCUAACCGUGCGAAGGUAGCAUAAUCACUUGUUCUUUAAAUAGGGACUCGUAUCAACGGCAUCACGAGGGCUAUACUGUCUCCUUUCUCCAAUCAGUGAAACUGAUCUUCCCGUGAAGAAGCGGGAAUUAUUGUAUAAGACGAGAAGACCCCAUGGAGCUUUAAACUCAAUAUAUACCUCUACGCAUUUAUAUCACUAUAGCCUAAGAAAAUUAUAUAUUAGUUUUGGGUUGGGGGGACCGCGGAGAAAAAAUUAACCUCCACGACAAAUAGGCCAACGCCUUUAUCUAUGAACCACAAUUCUAAGAAUCAAUAAACUGAUGUUUAUGAUCCAAUUUUUUGAUCAACGAACCAAGUUACCCUGGGGAUAACAGCGCAAUCUACUUCAAGAGCUCCUAUCGACAAGUGGGUUUACGACCUCGAUGUUGGAUCAGGGUAUCCUAGUGGUGCAGCCGCUACUAAAGGUUCGUUUGUUCAACGAUUAAAACCCUACGUGA